rnacentral:rRNA from 1 species
AGAGACAGCAGCAGCCGCGGGAAAACGGAGGGUGCGAGCGUUAACCGGAAUAACUGGGCGUAAAGGGCACGCAGGCGGUGACUUAAGUGAGGUGUGAAAGCCCCGGGCUUAACCUGGGAAUUGCAUUUCAUACUGGGUCGCUAGAGUACUUUAGGGAGGGGUAGAAUUCCACGUGUAGCGGUGAAAUGCGUAGAGACGUGGAGGAAUACCGAAGGCGAAGGCAGCCCCUUGGGAAAGUACUGACGCUCAUGUGCGAAAGCGUGGGGAGCAAACAGGAUUAGAGACCCCCGUAGCCCUGUCUCUUAUACC